rnacentral:rRNA from 1 species
CAGUCGCCGCGGGAAUACGUAGGUCCCGAGCGUUGUCCGGAUUUAUUGGGCGUAAAGCGAGCGCAGGCGGUUAGAAUAGUCUGAAGUUAAAGGCUGUGGCUUAACCAUAGUACGCUUUGGAAACUGCUUAACUUGAGUGCAAGAGGGGAGAGUGGAAUUCCAUGUGUAGCGGUGAAAUGCGUAGAUAUAUGGAGGAACACCGGUGGCGAAAGCGGCUCUCUGGCUUGUAACUGACGCUGAGGCUCGAAAGCGUGGGGAGCAAACAGGAUUAGAUACCCCAGUAGUCCCUGUCUCUUUACAC